rnacentral:rRNA from 1 species
UACGGGAGGCAGCAGUGGGGAAUAUUGCACAAUGGGCGCAAGCCUGAUGCAGCCAUGCCGCGUGUAUGAAGAAGGCCUUCGGGUUGUAAAGUACUUUCAGUCGUGAGGAAGGUGUUAAGGUUAAUAACCUUAGCAAUUGACGUUAGCGACAGAAGAAGCACCGGCUAACUCCGUGCCAGCAGCCGCGGUAAUACGGAGGGUGCGAGCGUUAAUCGGAAUUACUGGGCGUAAAGGGCACGCAGGCGGUUAAUUAAGUUGGAUGUGAAAUCCCCGGGCUUAACCUGGGAAUGGCAUUCAAGACUGGUUGGCUAGAGUCUUGUAGAGGGGGUAGAAUUCCAUGUGUAGCGGUGAAAUGCGUAGAGAUGUGGAGGAAUACCGGUGGCGAAGGCGGCCCCUGGACAAAGACUGACGCUCAUGUGCGAAAGCGUGGGGAGCAAAC